ACCUUUGAAAAGUCGCAACAGUAGCAGUA
rnacentral:piRNA from 1 species